GUGAAUAUAAACGUUUAGAAAGAUAAAAAAUACUACUUAAAAAAUAGACAAUUAUAAGUUGAGGCUGUGGAGAAAAAAUGGUGUUCGCUCUGUUCAUUAUUACAUAUAUUUACAUCCAUGCAUUUAUUAUUUGUGAAAUUUACUGGUAGUAUCAAUUAUCAAACGUAACUCAUAAGGUUUCAAUGGAAUUGAGUAUGUGGUGAGGGUUGGCGCAAAUUAGUUGAUGCACGCAAUGUGUUUGAGGAAAUCUUUAGGUGAUCAUCAUCCACUCAUCCAGUUACAUAGACAGCUCAGCUGCAGUUGGGUAAAAAACUUAAAUCUUUUAUACCUUGUGAUUUUUCACGAGUUUUAACGACUUUCCAAGUCUUAAUUUCCUUACUCUCGCAAUUGUUGCUUAGUUCUUGAAAAUGGGGAAGUCCCAUAUGUUGUUGUGAAAUCAAAUAUCUAUUUGGAAUAUACACCGUUUACUUUAAAAUUUGAAAUUUGCCUUGCUACAGAAAUGGCAUUAUAUGCUGUCAUAUAUUGUGCUCAUAUUGUUGCAUUAGUGUGGACAGUGGGAUGUGCUCAUGGGGGAUUUCCCAAUGGGAAAUGGCAUUUUCCCUUUACUUGCUUGUGGGAAUGAGGAAAUUGUUGUGUAUAUGAAACUUGCUUUUCAAUAGGUAUCUUUAACGGAUCUCUUAAUGAACUAAGAAGAUCUGCGAGGAUAAUCCUAGGGCUUUCUCUAGUAAAUUCUUAACUUUUAAACCUAAUUUUGUAUCAACAGUGCUGCAUGGGAUGUCUAACUCGUUAUGCCUAUCAGGGUAUUUGUUAUCUUUUCAAGGAUUAUGCUAC
rnacentral:lncRNA from 1 species